rnacentral:rRNA from 1 species
AAAGCUUUUCUAUCAAUCCUUCGGGAGAGACUGAAAAGUGGAAAGUGGCGAAAGGGUGAGUAACGCGUGGGCAAUCUGCCCUCAAGUUCGGGAUAACUCUGGGAAACUGGGACUAAUACCGAAUGUGGUCCUUGAUCGCAUGAUCGAGGUACUAAAGGUGGGGAUUCUUCGGAACCUGCCGCUUGUUGAGGAGCCCGCGUAUGAUUAGCUUGUUGGUGAGGUAACGGCUCACCAAGGCUCCGAUCAUUAGCUGGUCUGAGAGGAUGAUCAGCCACACUGGGACUGAGACACUGCCCAGACUCCUACGGGAGGCUGCAGUCGAGAAUCAUUCGCAAUGCGGGAAAGCGUGACGAUGCGACGCUGCGUGGAGGAUGACGGCCUUAGGGUUGUAAACUCCUGUCAUGAGGGAAAAGACUUUCCGGGACCAAUACCGCCAGUAUUUGAUGGUACCUCAAAAGGAAGCCACGGCUAACUCUGUGCCAGCAGCCGCGGUAAUACAGAGGUGGCGAGCGUUGUUCGGAUUUACUGGGCGUAAAGGGUGCGUAGGCGGUUUGGUAAGUUGGAUGUGAAAGCCCAGGGCUCAACCCUGGAACUGCAUUCAAUACUGCCGAACUAGAGUACAGGAGGGGAGAGCGGAAUUCUUAGUGUAGCGGUGAAAUGCGUUGAUAUUAAGAAGAACACCGGUGGCGAAGGCGGCUCUCUGGAAUGUUACUGACGCUGAGGCACGAAAGCUGGGGGAGCAAACAGGAUUAGAUACCCUGGUAGUCCCAGCCGUAAACGGUGUCGACUUGGUGUGGGGGGAAUUGACCCCUCCCGUGCCGGAGCUAACGCGUUAAGUCGACCGCCUGGGGAGUACGGCCGCAAGGCUAAAACUCAAAGAAAUUGACGGGGGCCCGCACAAGCGGAGGAGCAUGUGGCUUAAUUCGAUGCAACGCGAAGAACCUUACCCAGACUUGACAUAUAACUGCACGUCCUAUGAAAGCAGGAUUUCUUCGAGAGUGUUAUACAGGUGCUGCAUGGCUGUCGUCAGUUCGUGCCGUGAGGUGUUUGGUUAAGUCCAGCAACGAACGCAACACUUGUGACUAGUUGCCACCGUAGGUGAUGAGCCUACGAGCACUCUAGUCAGACAGCCCUUGCAAGAGGGAGGAAGGUGGGGAUGACGUCAAGUCAGUAUGGCCCUUACGUCUGGGGCUGCACACGUGCUACAAUGGCCGGUACAGAAGGUUGCAAUACCGCGAGGUGGAGCUAAUCCCUAAAACCGGCCCCAGUUCGGAUUGGAGUCUGCAACUCGACUCCAUGAAGUUGGAUUCGCUAGUAACGGCGUAUCAGCUACGACGCCGUGAAUACGUUCCCGGGCCUUGUACACACCGCCCGUCACAUCAUGAAAGCCGUCUGCACCCGAAGUCGUUGAUCUAACCAUUUAUGGAGGAA